rnacentral:rRNA from 1 species
UACGAGGGGGGCGAGCGUUGUUCGGAAUUAUUGGGCGUAAAGGGUGCGUAGGCGGCGGGGCAAGUCUGAUGUGAAAUCCCGGGGCUCAACCCCGGAACUGCAUUGGAUACUGCCUUGCUUGAGUACUGGAGAGGAGACUUGAAUUUACGGUGUAGCAGUGAAAUGCGUAGAGAUCGUAAGGAAGGCCAGUGGCGAAGGCGAGUCUCUGGACAGUAACUGACGCUGAGGCACGAAGGCCAGGGGAGCAAACGGG